rnacentral:rRNA from 1 species
UACGUAGGGUGCGAGCGUUGUCCGGAAUUAUUGGGCGUAAAGAGCUUGUAGGUGGCUCGUUGCGUCGGGAGUGAAAACCUGCGGCUUAACCGCAGGCCUGCUUCCGAUACGGGCGAGCUAGAGUUCGGCAGGGGAGACUGGAAUUCCUGGUGUAGCGGUGGAAUGCGUAGAUAUCAAGUGGAACACCAGUGGCGAAGGCGAGUCUCUGGACAUUUCCUGACGCUGAGGCACGAAAGCCAGGGGAGCAAACGGG